rnacentral:tRNA from 1 species
GGCCCCGUAGUUCAAUGGAUAGAAUAGAAGUUUCCUAAACUUUAGAUGUAGGUUCGAUUCCUGCCGGGGCUACAA